GUAGGAACUUUUUACAGUUAGGACUUGCUCUUCGGAGGUCUGAGGGUGGGGUGACCACAGUCACACAGCUCUUCCACCUGUUGGCAUUUAGUCACCUUCCAGCAUCCUAAGCCUUGUAUGGAAAACACCAUCCACAGAAGAGGUUCCUCUCUGUGCUUUGUGAAGCCACUGUCCCUGGGGGCCAAAGGCUGCCUGGCCUCUAGCCUUACUUCCUGACUAGUGGCCGAAUGGUUGCAGCUUGGCCAUUGUCCUGGGAUUCCAUCUCCAGCGCUGGAGAAGAGAAUUGUCACUCAAGGUAAAAAUCCUCUCUUCACAUGCCUGGUACCCUUUGAGUGACAAUUGGAAGAGGAGACUCAACUCUGACCCGAAGUGUCCUUCAUGUGGAGGUGUUCUGGUUGUCUUCACUCCAAAACUUUUCCUAGAUUUCAUGGUGCCAAAAAGGUCACUUAUGACACUAUAUUUUAAAAAUCAAUUCCAAGCUGGGCGUUGGUGGCGCACGACUUUAAUCCCAG
rnacentral:lncRNA from 1 species